GACGAACGCUGGCGGCGUGCCUAAUACAUGCAAGUCGAACGCUGCUUUCCUAACAAGUGCUUGCACUCAAUUGGAAAGGGGGGUUGCGGACGGGUGGGUAACACAUGGGUAACCUACCCAUCAGAGGGGGAUAACAAUUGGAAACAGGUGGUAAUAACGCAUAAAAGUUUAUGCAGCAUGGCAUAAGAGUGAAAGGAGCAUUCGGGUGGCGUAGAUGGGAGGACCCGCGGAGCAUUAGCUAGUUUGUGAGGUAACGGAUCAACAAGGCGACGAUGCAUAGGCGCCCUCAGAGGGUGAUUGGCCACCCUGGGACUGAGACUCGGCCCAGACUCCUACGCGAGGCAGCAGUACGGAAUCCUCGGCAAUGGACGAAAGUCUGACCGUGCAACGCCGCGUGAGUGCAGAAGGUUUUCGGAUCGUAAAACUCUGUUGUUAGAGAAGACCUAGGACGUUAGUAACUGAACGUCUCCUGACGGUAUCUAACCAGAAAGCCACGGCUAACUACGUG
rnacentral:rRNA from 1 species